ensembl:miRNA Gm55287 microRNA 7649
UGUGUCAGCAGUGCUGUAGACAUGGUCUCUCAGCAUCUCUCCAGCACUGCUUGUUUCU